rnacentral:rRNA from 1 species
AGAGUUUGAUCCUGGCUCAGGACGAACGCUGGCGGCGCGCCUAACACAUGCAAGUCGAACGAGCGAGAGAGAGCUUGCUUUCUCGAGCGAGUGGCGAACGGGUGAGUAACGCGUGAGGAACCUGCCUCAAAGAGGGGGACAACAGUUGGAAACGACUGCUAAUACCGCAUAAGCGCACAGCUUCGCAUGAAGCAGUGUGAAAAACUCCGGUGGUACAAGAUGGACCCGCGUCUGAUUAGCUAGUUGGUGAGGUAACGGCCCACCAAGGCGACGAUCAGUAGCCGGACUGAGAGGUUGAACGGCCACAUUGGGACUGAGACACGGCCCAGACUCCUACGGGAGGCAGCAGUGGGGAAUAUUGCACAAUGGGGGAAACCCUGAUGCAGCGACGCCGCGUGGAGGAAGAAGGUCUUCGGAUUGUAAACUCCUGUUGUUGAGGAAGAUAAUGACGGUACUCAACAAGGAAGUGACGGCUAACUACGUGCCAGCAGCCGCGGUAAAACGUAGGUCACAAGCGUUGUCCGGAAUUACUGGGUGUAAAGGGAGCGCAGGCGGGAGAACAAGUUGGAAGUGAAAUCCAUGGGCUCAACCCAUGAACUGCUUUCAAAACUGUUUUUCUUGAGUAGUGCAGAGGUAGGCGGAAUUCCCGGUGUAGCGGUGGAAUGCGUAGAUAUCGGGAGGAACACCAGUGGCGAAGGCGGCCUACUGGGCACCAACUGACGCUGAGGCUCGAAAGUGUGGGUAGCAAACAGGAUUAGAUACCCUGGUAGUCCACACCGUAAACGAUGAUUACUAGGUGUUGGAGGAUUGACCCCUUCAGUGCCGCAGUUAACACAAUAAGUAAUCCACCUGGGGAGUACGACCGCAAGGUUGAAACUCAAAGGAAUUGACGGGGGCCCGCACAAGCAGUGGAGUAUGUGGUUUAAUUCGAAGCAACGCGAAGAACCUUACCAGGUCUUGACAUCCGAUGCAUAGCACAGAGAUGUGUGAAAUCCUUCGGGACAUCGAGACAGGUGGU